rnacentral:rRNA from 1 species
AGGACGAACGCUGGCGGCGUGCCUAAUGCAUGCAAGUCGCACGCGCGGCGCGUAAGCGCCGUGAGUGGCGCACGGCUGAGGAUCACGUGGGAACAUGCCUCCUUGUGGGGACAACAGCGCGAAAGCGCUGCUAAUCCCGCAUACGCUCGCGUGAGCGAGGAAAGCCGCAAGGCGCAGGGAGAGUGGCCCCGCGGCCCAUCGAGGUGGUUGGUGGGGUAAUGGCCUACCGAA